UUCUUCUAGCGGACAGGGCUAGUGAACAUCUAUUUUUCUCCUGAGGUAUAUUUCUAAUGAAAAAUAUGGACUCCAAAUUGUCAAAAGAAGACAGCUUGUGUGAUUUUUCCCACCAUUUGAACGGAACCUUGAGACUAGCGCAGGCUAUAGAUGACCUUGCAAGUUACCGCAAGGUCAUGGACAAUCUUGGAGUGAAUUACGAUGCCAGAAUCAAAGCUGCAAGUAAGCGAGUGGAAAUUCCAACAGAAGAGAGUUGGAGAUUUCAGCAGUUGAAUCAGAAUUUGAAAAACCAUAUCGAAUACAUACAGGAAUGUCAAGGGCAGGAUUUGAUUGACAGGUGGCUCAGGAAAUUUCAUGAAUCUGGGGCUACCAGUAAUAAGAAUAAGUGAAACAUUGAUUCAUUAAUGGAAUUACAAAAUUGUACUUCCUGCAGAGUGAAAAAUUAUACUAACUGGAACAUAUAAUAAUCAUAUUUUCACUUUUAAAAAUUCAUUAUGGAACAUUCAAUGUUUCAAACUUUCAAAUGUCAGUACUUACUGGUAUUAUAUAUAAUCAAAUUAGAACUUGUACAUGAUUCAUUUAUUCUUUUAAAGUUGUCUGUUUCGGCAGAGACAUAUUUUUAUGUCUUUGGUUUUGGAUAUUAUACAUGUAUCUGCAUGUACUAGCUAGUAUUUUGUGAUAUCCAGAUUAAAUAAGCAAUGAAAUAAAAUUGACCCUUUAG
rnacentral:sRNA from 1 species